AACGAACGCUGGCCGCAUGCCUAACACAUGCAAGUCGAACGAGACCUUCGGGUCUAGUGGCGCACGGGUGAGUAACGCGUGGGAACCUGCCCUUAGGUUCGGAAUAACUCCCCGAAAGGGGUGCUAAUACCGGAUAAUGUCUUCGGACCAAAGAUUUAUCGCCUUUGGAUGGGCCCGCGUUGGAUUAGCUAGUUGGUAGGGUAAAAGCCUACCAAGGCGACGAUCCAUAGCUGGUCUGAGAGGAUGAUCAGCCACACUGGGACUGAGACACGGCCCAGACUCCUACGGGAGGCAGCAGUGAGGAAUAUUGGACAAAUGGCGAAAGCCUGAUCCAGCAAUGCCGCGUGAGUGAUGAAGGCCUUAGGGUUGUAAAGCUCUUUUACCCGGGAUGAUAAUGAGAGUACCGGGAGAAUAAGAACCGGCUAACUCCGUG
rnacentral:rRNA from 1 species